UUACAGUUGCCGGAUUCUUCUGGACGCUGAUCGCCAUCAUGGUCGCCGUGGCCUGAAGGGCGGUCGUUCAGGCGCUGGAGGGUUUUCCUCGUGGAGCAAGAAGAGCACAGGUUACGUGACCAUCAAAGGCAAGGAGAAAGACGUGAAUGCAGGAAUCUGUGAUAAAAGUCGGGUCUAAAAGCCAGGUACAAACACAUCAGUCCUCGAGCACCUGUUUACCUGGUGGAGAGCGAGACAGCUGCUUUAACAUUAGAAUUACUUGUAUGCGCUUGUAUGAUAAGUUACCGCUGUUAAACACUCUAUCUGUUGGGAAGAUAGAAAGUGCAGAGUAUAUUUGUAGUUCUUAGCGAAUAGGAAUGGCGGGAAAGUUUAGAUAAUAUAAAGGUUGAUGGGUCAGAUAUUUAUCGAAUUUCUUGCGAAAAGUAAAAAAAAAAGUGAUAAUAAUAAAUACGAAUUAUUUGGCGGCGGCAACACCCAAUCACUGUGCCAGCGCUGUUUGUUGUUGUGUUGGAAGUCACCUGUUGUGUUGUCACGAAGUUAUGCGUCUUUCCGUUCGUCGGCUCUAUGUAUUCCAAUGUUUCCAUAAAAAUUCAGUCUUUAUACUUGUUAAUCUUUAAGAAAUGUAUGUAAAUAUAUAUAAACACACAAGAACUAAGGAACCUAGCAGAAAGGGAAAAGAAAAUAAGACCUUGCCCUUUCAUGAAAAAACGCGGGUUCUUGGACUGAAGAGCGGUUGUCUGCAACUUCUCUCGCAGGAAGAAAAAAAGAAAAGAAAAAAAAAAAA